rnacentral:rRNA from 1 species
CCUACGGGAGGCAGCAGUGGGGAAUUUUGGACAAUGGGCGCAAGCCUGAUCCAGCAAUGCCGCGUGCAGGAUGAAGGCCUUCGGGUUGUAAACUGCUUUUGUACGGAACGAAACGGUCUGCUCUAAUACAGUGGGCUAAUGACGGUACCGUAAGAAUAAGCACCGGCUAACUACGUGCCAGCAGCCGCGGUAAUACGUAGGGUGCGAGCGUUAAUCGGAAUUACUGGGCGUAAAGCGUGCGCAGGCGGUUAUAUAAGACAGAUGUGAAAUCCCCGGGCUCAACCUGGGACCUGCAUUUGUGACUGUAUAGCUAGAGUGCGGCAGAGGGGGAUGGAAUUCCGCGUGUAGCAGUGAAAUGCGUAGAUAUGCGGAGGAACACCGAUGGCGAAGGCAAUCCCCUGGGCCUGCACUGACGCUCAUGCACGAAAGCGUGGGGAGCAAACAGGAUUAGAUACCCUGGUAGUCCACGCCCUAAACGAUGUCAACUGGUUGUUGGGUCUUCACUGACUCAGUAACGAAGCUAACGCGUGAAGUUGACCGCCUGGGGAGUACGGCCGCGAAGGUUGAAACGUCAAAUGAAUUGACGG